AAAGAAUGUUCUUUGAGUGAUGUUGCUGGAGAAAGUCACGAGCCCUCUUGAGCACAAGCAUAACCGAGGUGAAUCCAAGUGGAUGCGGAGCUGCUGGUGUGUAUAGCUAUGUUGCUUUUCUGUUCCUUUCUCUGCAUCGAAAUGGGGUUCAGAUUUGCACAUAUUGUGUGGUGUGUAAAUGAAAGGGGUCAGGGGUAUUCUGUUGUGUGUUGUGCGUGAAGUUGUAGGUGUGUGCUGUCAAAAGAUUAAAAAAAUUACUAUGAUUGGACAACACUCUUGUCAUUCUCUCUUAAAUUUUGUUUGAUGCUGACUGUAUGCACUCUAUUUGCUUGUUGCGUUAUACUGUUGCUACAAUAAUUUUAAUGGAAAGAUUCAAUAAGAGCUACUUCCUGGUUCCUUGUUUUUUCUUGGUAAAUACAAGUAUUUAUCUUCAA